GAGUUUGAUCCUGGUUCAGAUUGAACGCUAGCGGGAUGCCUUACACAUGCAAGUCGAACGGCAGCACGGACUUCGGUCUGGUGGCGAGUGGCGAACGGGUGAGUAAUGUAUCGGAACGUGCCCAGUAGCGGGGGAUAACUACGCGAAAGCGUAGCUAAUACCGCAUACGCUCUACGGGGGAAAGCAGGGGAUCGUAAGACCUUGCACUAUUGGAGCGGCCGAUAUCGGAUUAGCUAGUUGGUGGGGUAACGGCUCACCAAGGCGACGAUCCGUAGCUGGUUUGAGAGGACGACCAGCCACACUGGGACUGAGACACGGCCCAGACUCCUACGGGAGGCAGCAGUGGGGAAUUUUGGACAAUGGGGGAAACCCUGAUCCAGCCAUCCCGCGUGUGCGAUGAAGGCCUUCGGGUUGUAAAGCACUUUUGGCAGGAAAGAAACGUCAUGGGUUAAUACCCCGU
rnacentral:rRNA from 1 species